rnacentral:rRNA from 1 species
UACGUAGGGUGCGAGCGUUGUCCGGAAUUAUUGGGCGUAAAGAGCUCGUAGGCGGCCUGUUGCGUCCGCUGUGAAAUCCCGGGGCUCAACCCCGGGCGUGCAGUGGAUACGGGCUGGCUGGAGGCAGGCAGGGGAGAACGGAAUUCCUGGUGUAGCGGUGAAAUGCGCAGAUAUCAGGAGGAACACCGGUGGCGAAGGCGGUUCUCUGGGCCUGUACUGACGCUGAGGAGCGAAAGCGUGGGGAGCGAACAGG